ACCGAGACUAGAGUCACAUCCUGACACGGUUGGUUGUCCCGGUGUGCUAGAGUCCUCGGAGAGAAUCUCCUGCUCUUUAUUCACUGGCUGAGGGGUGUCUCGUGCCUCAGCCGGUCACCGGAUCAGGAACAUUG